UCAAAUCAGGUGGGACUACCCGCUGAACUUAAGCAUAUCAAUAAGCGGAGGAAAAGAAACUAACAAGGAUUCCCCUAGUAACUGCGAGUGAAGCGGGAAGAGCUCAAAUUUAAAACCUGGCA
rnacentral:rRNA from 1 species